GCAGGCUUUGUGUUUGUUUCUUUGUUUGUUUUGGUUGGUUGGUUUAGGUUUUUUCCCUCUCCAGACGAAUACCAGGACGCAGCCUGGGAGGAGAGGAGAUCAAACAGAGUUCUUCCUCUCCCUCCACGUUUUUUCCUUCUCCUCGCUGGAAUUCAGAUCAAGUGCCUGUUUUGUGGUGAGGAUACACCUCCUCCAAACCUCCUUUGGAGCCCUGGGUGCUGUUUGGAACCCUCCACACCCUGGUCCCUGCGUGCUGUGUCCGUGGGGGACACGGGGAAUGCUCAGCACACGCGCUGAAGCCUCAGCCAGGGCGGGAUGUGCGUGAUCCGUCUCACUUCUGGCAGCAGAGGGAAGAAAGAGAGCCUCCGAAAUCUAUAAAUCAACCGUCUCUCAAACUGUGUGGGAUUAAGGAAAAGGUGCAGAAUGGAAAUGAUUUCCUGGGGGGGAAGCACAUCGUUUCGUUUGCCUGGGAAAAUGAUGUCUUCAUCUGUUGUCUUUCAGAGACUCUAAAAAGAUUUAAAGGAGGGCUCAGAGCAUGCAAUUAUUGUGGAACCUUGGAAUCCCACGCUGGCUUGGGUGGGAGGGGACCUGAAAACUCAUCCAGUGCCACCCCCUGCCAUGGGCAGGGACACCUUCCACUGUCCCAGGGUGCUCCAAGCCCCGUCCAGCCUGGCCUUGGGCACUGCCAGGGGUGAGGCACCAACAACUGAGUGUGGCUUCUCUGGGGGCAAAGUGGGUGGAAGAAAGGUCCCAGCUCUGCACUGCCCUGAGG